AUUGAAAGCUGGCGGCAGGCUUAACACAUGCAAGUCGAGCGGGGUGAUGGUGCUUGCACUAUCACUUAGCGGCGGACGGGGGAGUAAUGCUUAGGAAUCUGCCUAUUAGUGGGGGACAACAUCUCGAAAGGGAUGCUAAUACCGCACACGUCCUACGGGAGAAAGCAGGGGAUCACUUGUGACCUUGCGCUACUAACUGAGCGUAAGUCGGAUUAGCUAGUUGGUGGGGUAAAGGCCUACCAAGGCGACGAUCUGUAGCGGGUCUGAGAGGAUGAUCCGCCACACUGGGACUGAGACACGGCCCAGACUCCUACGGGAGGCAGCAGUGGGGAAUAUUGGACAAUGGGGGGAACCCUGAUCCAGCCAUGCCGCGUGUGUGAAGAAGGCCUUAUGGUUGUAAAGCACUUUAAGCGAGGAGGAGGCUCUUUUGGUUAAUACCCAAGAUGAGUGGACGUUACUCGCAGAAUAAGCACCGGCUAACUCUGUGCCAGCCGCCGCCGUAA
rnacentral:rRNA from 1 species